GGGGAUGUGGCUCAGUGGUAGAGUUUUUGCCUUGCAUGCAAAGGCUUUGAGUUCGAUCCCCAGCACCA
rnacentral:tRNA from 1 species